rnacentral:rRNA from 1 species
ACGUAGGGUGCGAGCGUUAAUCGGAAUUACUGGGCGUAAAGCGUGCGCAGGCGGUUUGAUAAGCCAGAUGUGAAAUCCCCGGGCUUAACCUGGGAACUGCAUUUGGAACUGUCAGACUAGAGUAUAGCAGAGGGGGGUAGAAUUCCACGUGUAGCAGUGAAAUGCGUAGAGAUGUGGAGGAAUACCAAUGGCGAAGGCAGCCCCCUGGGUUAAUACUGACGCUCAUGCACGAAAGCGUGGGGAGCAAACAGGAUUAGAUACCCUGGUAGUCCACGCCCUAAACGAUGUCAACUAGUUGUUGGUAGAGUAAAAUCUAUGAGUAACGCAGCUAACGCGUGAAGUUGACCGCCUGGGGAGUACGAUCGCAAGAUUA